CCCUUAGAUGUCCUGGGCCGCACGCGCGUUACACUGAUGCAUUCAACGAGCUUAUAACCUUGGCCGAGAGGCCUGGGCAAUCUUGUUAACGUGCAUCGCGAUAGGGAUAGAUUAUUGCAAUUAUUAAUCUUGAACGAGGAAUUCCUAGUAAACGCAGUUCAUCAAACUGCAUUGAUUACGUCCCUGCCCUUUGUACACACCGCCCGUCGCACCUACCGAUUGGAUGGUCCGGUGAAGCCUCGGGAUUGUGGCGGUUGCCUUUAUUGGUGGCCGCCGCGAGAACUUGUCUAAACCUUAUCAUCUAGAGGAAGGUGAAGUCGUAACA
rnacentral:rRNA from 1 species